rnacentral:rRNA from 1 species
GUGAGGAAUAUUGGUCAAUGGGCGAGAGCCUGAACCAGCCAAGUAGCGUGCAGGACGACGGCCCUAUGGGUUGUAAACUGCGUUUUGCGCGGGGAUAAAGUGCGCCACGUGUGGCUCACUGCAGGUACCGCGCGAAUAAGGACCGGCUAAUUCCGUGCCAGCAGCCGCGGUAAUACGGAAGGUCCGGGCGUUAUCCGGAUUCAUUGGGUUUAAAGGGAGCGCAGGCCGCCCCUUAAGCGUGUUGUGAAAAUGCCGCGGCUCAACCGUGGCACUGCAGCGCGAACUGUUCUCCUUGAGUGCGCAGGAAGUAGGCGGAAUUCGUCGUGUAGCGGUGAAAUGCUUAGAUAUGACGAAGAACUCCGAUUGGGAAGCCAGCUUACUGUAGCGC